CGACGAGGGGAUUGGCCGCAACAGGUUUGGCGCGCCAGGUAGGGGGCGGGAUCACGACCUCCACAGAGCUUGAAAAAAUUCUUUCGAAAUGACAAGAACCAGGGCUCAGCGAUCGAGGGCCACCGGAUCGGUGAGGCACUCUUUCCGUCGGGAAAAUGCCUCUCCUCCACCCUCCAUGGCGGAACCCAGCUCUCCGCAUCCUGUGGUGACCACGGAGGCGCAAAUCGCGGCGAUUGUACGGCAGAUGACUGUGCUGACGGGUGCAGUCAAGAGCCUUCAACAACAACCAACCCGGUUGCUGCACCUGCGGCGGGGCAACCGGCGGCACACCCGAUGUCCUCUAGGAGCAGCCGCCAGCGUCGGUCUCCGUCUCCUCCUCAGGAGCAGCCGUCACAGCACUCCCACCGAGA
rnacentral:lncRNA from 1 species